rnacentral:tRNA from 1 species
GGAUUGUGGCUCAGUGGUUGAGUGCUCGCCUAGCAUGUGCAAGGCCUUGGGUUGGAUCCCCAGCACCA